UACGAAGGGGGCUAGCGUUGCUCGGAAUCACUGGGCGUAAAGCGCACGUAGGCGGAUUGCUAAGUCAGGGGUGAAAUCCUGGAGCUCAACUCCAGAACUGCCUUUGAUACUGGCGAUCUUGAGUCCGGGAGAGGUGAGUGGAACUGCGAGUGUAGAGGUGAAAUUCGUAGAUAUUCGGAAGAACACCAGUGGCGAAGGCGGCUCACUGGACCGUUGUUGACGCUGAGGUGCGAAAGCGUGGGGAGCAAACAGG
rnacentral:rRNA from 1 species